UACGUAGGGUGCAAGCGUUGUCCGGAGUUAUUGGGCGUAAAGAGCGUGUAGGCGGCUUGGCAAGUCUGCUGUGAAAACUCGAGGCUCAACCUCGAGCUGUCGGCGGAAACUGCUUGGCUAGAGUCCGGAAGAGGAGAGUGGAAUUCCUGGUGUAGCGGUGAAAUGCGCAGAUAUCAGGAAGAACACCUAUGGCGAAGGCAGCUCUCUGGGACGGUACUGACGCUGAGACGCGAAAGCGUGGGGAGCGAACAGG
rnacentral:rRNA from 1 species